UUUCAUGAAAUUAUAUUUCAAGUUUAAAUAAAUAUUAUAAUCAUCUGCCAAUUCUUCAUCGCAGGUCGCCAUUGUUGGGGCUAAUGUCUGCUCCCAUUAAGAGCCUUGAUUACGAGAUUUUUGAUAACGAGUUAUUCGUGCAAGAUUGGCUACGGAAGCCGGGUUAUGGAGCCUAACUGCGUGCUAUCCUAGAUCCUACAAAGGGUGUUGGUCGAUUAAGACGGCAGGACGGUGGUCAAGGAAGUCGAAAUCGGCUAAGGAAUGUAUAACAACUCACCUGCCUAAUCAACUAGCCCCGAAAAUGGAUGGCGCUGAAGCGCGCGACCUAUACCCAGCGGUCGAGGCGAGGAAUCGUGAGGAUUUCCAGAUAUUUCAAUUACUUGGUUAUGAAGUGGCUUUCAUGCUUCUUGAUCGGGUCUUGUUGGUUUCUGAAACAAUCUAGCAGUGGAGAAUAUUGCAGGGAAGAAGUUUGUGGUCACUUUGAAUAUGAAGAUCGAGGGUGUUAGGAAUUACGACCCUCCACAAUGGUCAGGGAGUUUCAUAUCUCGAGAUCUUGUAACACGUGGAGUGCUUUUCGUGCUCCUGUUGGUGGCGUACUGUUUGAUAUUGAAGAGAUGGCAUCUUGGUAUGUAUAAUGGUUGAGGACAAGGGUUUCUCUCUUCGUUAUUGUGCUUGAAUUGACCAAUAAUUUGUUGUUGCUGCCUUUACUAAUGUUUGUUCUUAUUUCCAAUAGUGUAGCUGAUGCUUUCAACAUUAACAUAUAUAACUUGAUCAUGAAAGCCAAAGGAUUUCCUUAUCUAAAAAGCCAUGUUGAGCCAUA